CUUUCUACCAAAUAAAAUCGCCAGGGAAAAAAUAUUUAUUGUUUCAAUGCUUUACUGUGCACUCCAAGAGUCGCUUCUUAAAUUCCCCCAAUAACUGUCAGCAUAGACGAUUCACAUAACGUGUCUUCCUCAACGGGCUUGCUCUUUCAAUUCUCAUGCCAUACAAACAAUACCAGCCGGAUUUUGCGUAUAACAUGGGCUUGCUCUGUGAAGCUUUGCAAUUCACUAUUUUGCUGGUGGUAGUUGUUGUGGGUAAUUUUAUUGUUUCUAUUUUACCUUUCUGAUUGCAACUUCAUUGUUCAAAUUCGUCUAAUUGAGUCCUUUAGUCAAAUCAAUUAUUGGCUAAUUCUCGUGUUUAAUUACUCUUUCCAGACUUUAGCAAUUCACUUAUUGGCUAAUUCUCACAUUGAAUUCCUCUUCUAGGUUCUAACAAUCGCUCUCUACGAUCAACUAUUGUUUCUCCCCUUCAACAAUUUGUGCUUUCUGCUUCAACUGCUUUUUCUAAAUUUGUUUAGUUGUUUUUGGUGAAACACUUUACUUAUCAUUAUUAUCACAUCCAAUAAUUCGUUAUUCCCUCUUGUGUUCUGAUUAUUUAUAUCUCAAAUAGGAUUCAUGUUUUCUUUUUCUGUCGACACAUGAUAUACAUGGUUAAUUAUUAAUUUUUGACUCAAUUGAUUGAAACUCCUGAUUUUCAGGUUGUUAAUGACUUCUUCUAUGGUGGAAAAUCUGUUUUUAAUUAGGAAAAAAUGAAAGCUGAACUUUUAGAGUAGAUGUAUCAUCAGAAUGCACCAACAACUUCCCCUAAAUUCAUAGAGCUUGCUUCGAUAGGGAUUAUGAUAGCGUCAAAAUCCACAUAGUCAUCAAUGUUUCUUUUGCUUAUCUUUUUUUGUUGUUAAUUUUAGACGACUGUUGGUUCAGAUCUUAUUGUAUACCAUUCUUUUUUUGUUUAUUUGAUUUGGAUGUAGGAUAUUAAUGUACGUAUUUUUUUGGACGCAAGAAGAGUAUGUCUAAGGUAUGGAGAAACUCUUGCAAGUUUCUGUUACUUCAGUAUGAAUGUUGGAUGAUUUAAAGGUGGUCCUGACAUUUCUUUUUUGUUCCUUGUGUCUCUGGAGUUCUCCCAGAACUUCUCCUCCUUACUUUCUUGUCCUGGUGCUAUAAGUAAUCCUGCAAUUUAAUAGUCUGUAUUGUAUGCAUUUUUAGGGACUAAGAAAGUUUUAAAGUUGUUGUAAUUAACUCUGAGUUGUAUGCUUCAGUGGAACUGUUUCAAACUCAUGUCUAUCCAGUGAGUCUGCACCAGAGAAGAAAAGUGAGGCCAUUAUAUUUUCCAACGUUAAUGAAAUUGUCUUGGAAUAAUGAUGUUAAUUUCAAGAUCCGCGGGUUAAA